rnacentral:rRNA from 1 species
CCUACGGGUGGCAGCAGUGGGGAAUAUUGGGCAAUGGAGGAAACUCUGACCCAGCAAUGCCGCGUGAAUGAAGGAGGUCUUCGGAUUGUAAAGUUCUUUCGUCAGGGAAGAAGUCAAUGACGGUACCUGAAGAAUACGCUCCGGCUAACUCCGUCCCAGCAGCCGCGGUAAUACGUAGGGAGGAAGCGUUGUUCGGAAUGAAUGGGCGUAAAGGGUGCGUAGGCGGUUGUACAAGUUAGAAGUGAAAUACCCCGGGCUUAACUCGGGUGCUGCUUCUGAAACUGUAUGACUUGAGUGCAGUAGAGGUUAGUGGAAUUCCUAGUGUAGCGGUGGAAUGCGUAGAUAUUAGGAGGAACACCAGAGGCGAAGGCGGCUAACUGGACUGCAACUGACGCUGAGGCACGAAAGUGUGGGGAGCAAACAGGAUUAGAUACCCCAGUAGUC